UACGGAGGGAGCUAGCGUUGUUCGGAAUUACUGGGCGUAAAGCGCGCGUAGGCGGCUUUGUAAGUUAGAUGUGAAAGCCCGGGGCUCAACCCCGGAAUUGCCUUUAAGACUGCAUCGCUAGAAUCCGGGAGAGGUGAGUGGAAUUCCGAGUGUAGAGGUGAAAUUCGUAGAUAUUCGGAAGAACACCAGUGGCGAAGGCGGCUCACUGGACCGGUAUUGACGCUGAGGUGCGAAAGCGUGGGGAGCAAACAGG
rnacentral:rRNA from 1 species